rnacentral:rRNA from 1 species
UACGUAGGGGGCAAGCGUUGUCCGGAUUUAUUGGGCGUAAAGAGCGUGUAGGCGGCCAUGUAGGUCCGUUGUGAAAACUCGAGGCUCAACCUCGAGACGCCGAUGGAAACCAUGUGGCUAGAGUCCGGAAGAGGAGAGUGGAAUUCCCGGUGUAGCGGUGAAAUGCGCAGAUAUCAGGAAGAACACCCGUGGCUAAGGCGGUUCUCUGGGACGGUACUGACGCUGAGACGCGAAAGCGUGGGGAGCGAACAGG